rnacentral:sRNA from 1 species
UUUUUUUUUGAUAAUGUAAAAAAAAUAUAAGACAUGAAAUGACUAAUUAAUGCAACGAUUAGAUCUUGGUAAAAAAAAUUCAUUACUUUAGAUUGAUUCAUAUUUUUCUAAUAAUGUGAUAACUGAUAUAAGACAUGAAAUGACUAAUCAAUGCAACGGUUAGAUCUUGAAAAGAAAAAGAACUAUAACUUAGAUUGAUUCAAAUUAAAUUAUUUCUUAUGUCAUUAAUAGAACAUCUUUCUAAAAACUUUAUGCUUGAUUGAAUAUACAUUUCUU